GCUUUUUACUUUAGCUUGCUAGAGUUUAACGAGUUGCGAACGGGUGAGUAACGCGUACGUAACCUACCUACUAGCGGGGGAUAACUAUUGGAAACGAUAGCUAAUACCGCGUAAAAGUUUUUAACACAUGUUAGAAGCUUGAAAGAUGCAAAUGCAUCACUAGUAGAUGGACCUGCGUUGUAUUAGCUAGUUGGUGGGGUAAAGGCCUACCAAGGCGACGAUACAUACCCCACCUGAGAGGGUGAACGGCCACACUGGGACUGAGACACGGCCCAUACUCCUACGGGAGGCAUCCCUACGGAAUCUUCGGGAAUGGGGGCAACCCUGACCGAACUACGCCACGUGAGUGAAGAAGGUUUUCGGAUCGUAAAUCUCUGUUGUAAGAGAAGAACGUGUGUGAGAGUGGAAAGUUCACACAGUGACGGUAACUUACCAUAAAGGGACGGCUAACUACGUGCCAGCAACCGCGGUAAUACUGACGUCCCGAGCGUUGUCCGGAUUUAUUGGGCGUAAAUCGAGCGCAGGCGGUUUAAUAAGUCUGAAGUUCAAGGCAUUGGCUUAACCAUUGUUCGCUUUGGAAACUGCUAAACUUGAAUGCAUA
rnacentral:rRNA from 1 species